GGGCCCGGGCAGCGGGGCCGCCGGGAAGAGCCGCUCCCAGCCCCGCCGCAGGUGUGCGCCGGGCCCCGAGGAGCAGGCCAUACCAGAUUCUCAGGAGAGAAGCUCUCCAGUGCUCCCGGACAAUGGCAGGGAAAAAGGUCCUGAUAGUCUAUGCACAUCAAGAGCCCAAGUCCUUCAACGGAUCUUUGUUGAAGAUUGCUGUGGAAGAAUUGACCAAGCAGGGCUGCAGUGUCACGGUGUCGGAUUUAUAUGCAAUGCAGUUUGAGCCAAGAGCAACAAGAAAUGACAUUGUUGGUCGCUUGCACAACUCAGAAGCGUUCAAUUAUGGUGUGGAGACCUGGGAAGCUUACAAGAGGGGAGGUUUGUCCAAAGAUCUGGUUGAAGAGCAAAAGAAGGUGCAGGAAGCAGACUUGCUGAUUUUUCAGUUUCCCUUGUUUUGGUUCAGCAUGCCUGCGAUCCUGAAGGGCUGGAUGGACAGAGUCUUGGUCCAAGGCUUUGCUUAUGAUUUGUCAAAGUGUUAUGAUGGUGGUUUGCUCCAGGACAAAUUAUCCCUGUUUUCUUUCACCACUGGAGGAACCAAAGAAAUGUAUUCAAAUGGAGGUAUCGGUGGUGAUAUUCGCUAUGUUCUGUGGCCCAUGCAGCAUGGAAUCAUGCACUUCUGUGGUGUCAAAGUCCUUGAACCUCACAUCUGUUAUGCUCCAGAAAAUGUCUCUGAGGGGAAGAGGAAGGAGAUGCUGACUGGCUGGACCCAGCGUCUGAAGACUCUUUGGAAGGAAGAACCCAUAAACUGCUCUCCUGAGUGGUAUUUCAAGUAGUGUUCAGGUACAAGACUACAGAGAGAAGAUUGUUUUUCUCCAUUCUUUUGGAUGCUCUAUCUAAAUACCUGAAUGCUAAUCUCCUAAUUCAAAUGUAUUUUAAGAAUCUAGAAUACAGCAGCUAGCAGCUUAACUGAAAAUAUAGCAUUUAUCUUCAUUGAUUCCUGAGGGAUUCUCAUGAAGGAUGGGUGCAAAACUCUUUGUGAAGCUCUCCUUGCUCACAUAAACAGUGGUAUCAUCCUGCCUAACUGUGAUUGAUAAGACAUAUAGUAUUUCAUGGGAGAUUAUACCAUUGCUGCCUGUGAAACAGUAAAGUACAUGGCCAAGGUUAUUUUAACGCUGUUUGUACCAGCUGCCACUUUUUUUAAUUGUCCAGGGAAUAUGCUGCCCUUACUCACACUUGUUGUUUAAAAGAGCAGGAGUGGCCAUGAGGGCCAUGAGCUAUGAAGCCAGAUCAUGAGCAGUGCAAAAGGAUGUACAGUUGCACAGUGACUUUGACAGCUGGAAAGCCUUGUGGGUAGCCUUGUGCUUUUCCAAAUAUUCACAAAGCAAUGUUCAAGCUACAACACGUAUCAAAAAAAGGGAAAAACAAAUACAAAUACUGUAUAGUGGUAUGUGCAUGAAUUGCCUUCCUUUGUAGACUGCACCUCCCAUUUGUAAACUAAGUAGCUUCCUAAAAUCAAAGGGACCUCUCUAUUUUGGUUGCCCUCAGUGGAGACAAAAAGGAAUCCUGUGUGCUUCCUGCCCCUUCACACCAGUCAGGGUUGGUGUUUGGGUCUGGAGGGCAUUUGCAUCCCCUCCACCAUCAGAGUCAAUGGGCUUCCUUGGAGAUCUCCAGCACUGGCAGCUGGCAAGGCAGGAUGCCGACCUGAAAACCUGCAGGAGCACUGUCUGUCUAUGGAUCAGGAUCUAGUGGGACAAAAGGACUGCCUGGCUCUUAACAUCCAUGAUUUUUACCUUGAAUUGUAGCAGGAUUAUUUUUGAGAGCUGUUAACCCUGUUGGUGCAUAUGGCAAGGGCAGGUUUCUCACUUAGUUAUCCGACUUCUUGCUUUGACCAGCUCACCUAUCAGCUGGCUUUGCACUUUGGUAUUAAAAGAAAGUGGCCCAAAUAAGGAACGGUCUCCUGAGUCACUGCCAAAUGACGCUUAGGCCUCUGCAUACAGCAUGUGCAUCUGCCAUACCUUCUUUUGCCAGUCUUGUCACACCCCAGCCUCACAGUUCUUUAAGGGCUCUUUGGAUAAUAAACAUGCUGAGCCCAGACUCUGCACUGACAGUGUAAGCUGAUACACCAGACUGGGAAGUGCUACCACAGGGAAAGAGUCACAUGUUCCUGUUCCGUCUUCUUCCGUCUCUGCCACCUCCUGCAGAGACAUUCCCUGGGAAGCAGUGCUGCCCAAAGCUGUUGUAGAUGUCUACUUCAGGGUGUGUGAGACAAAGUCUUUAGGUUACACAAGCAGAAAAUUUGCUUUGGCUCAAUAGCUCUGUUACAGGAAAAGAAAAGUGAAAGUUAUUAAGGGGGAAAGUGUUAUACAUCUAAGUUGUGGAGAAAGCAGAUUCAUGCCAGAAGACUUAAGGUAAACAACUUACCUGAUGAGAAAGUGGAGGACAAAUUCAAAUAUUGAAAUUGCAUAGGAGAGGAAUCAUCCUCAUGUUCACUGUGUACAGUUACCAGACUGUUCAAGAAACAAGGAAAUUGAGGUGAAAGCAGAAGUUGCAAGUGUGAAACCCAAUGUUACUGCUUUGGAUCAAUUGCAGAGCUUAGUGGGUUUAACUGUUAGAUAAAGAAUCUAAUAUAGACUGACCUGUAUAUUGAGGAUACACUUCUUGACACUAUUUGGCAGAUACAUGCUAGAUCCCAAACACAUGGUAGCAUUAGGCGCUUGUAUUAGCCUGGAUAUAUGUAAUCUAAGUAUCCACGGUGGCUGUGCUAGGUCAGAACAAGGAUCCUGCAGCCCUGAGUUUUUUCUCCACAGUGGUUAUAGGCCAGGAAUAGCAAGCACUUCCCAUGAAUACUGACCUGGGUGCUAACUACAUUUAGUUUGGGGGAUUUCCUGAAGUACAUACACUUUCUCUAUAUUUACAAAGCCAAAUAAUAGAUCUCUGUUCUGAAUUUUGUUUAGCAUUCUCUUGAAUUCAUGUCAACUUCAAGCAGCCAAUAUAUUUUGGCGAAGUUCAGCAGGUGAGUUUUUCCUUUCAUGAAGCACUGGAGUGGGGAGGGAGCCCUGGAGGGUGAAGCACCUAGUUCCCAGUAGCUUUGUUUGGUUCCUCCCAGUCAACAGUAAUGAUCGGUCCCAUCUGUUCUUUUACACACUGCUCAGAGUUUUGUACAUGUGCAUCACCUCCACUCCUAAAUAAUCUCCUUCCCAGGCCAAGGAGUCCUGUCCUGCUCAGUUGUUCUUCCAAGAGAAGUCAUUGGCCUUUGGUCACCCUUGUUCUUCUCUGAACACCUCCGGUCUCACUAUCCCAUUACUGAGAAGAGGGGACCAGAGAUCUCUUCAGAAAACUCAGUAAAGGUGACAGAAGACCCUACAGUUUUUCCAGUAAUGCAAUGAAACCUGCAACUUUCAUCCUGCUGGCAAUAAAAUCAGCUAUAUGUCAAACGUGGGGUUUUUUUGAGCAUUUUAUGUAUUUAUAUUUUCUUUACUAUAAGUUUUAAUAAGAUGGCUGAGAUUUUUAGUACAAAGUAUGUAAAAGUUUUGUUGAGAUUAGUGCAAGUUUCAGUUAAAGUAAAAAGAUAACUAAUGGCCUUAUUUAAUUUUCAUUAAUACUGAAAUUGAAGACUUCUGCUCAUGUAAAUGCAUUUAUUGUAAAAAGCACUAAAAAUGUAUUGACCUUAUUGUCUAUUUCAAGAUAACCUUCCUUUCUUCUCAAUCAGAAUUAAGAGAUUUCUCUGUAAAUUCA